CUGGGGGGGGAGGGCACAGUUUAUUGUGUGUUUUAAGAGGGAAGUAGAUAGAUGUAUGAAAGAGGCUGAAGGAGUACGGGAUGUGAUUGAAAGAAUAGCUUGCUUGGCGCAGACUCAAAUGAGCCGAAUGGUCUCCUUCUGUGCUGCUAACUUCUAUGAUUCUGUGAAAUUCGUGGCAACAGUAUUUGGCUAGCACUGGAAUUCCUUAACAUUCCUGCUGACUAAACUCUUAACGUAACUGUUUAAUUUCCUCUAGGGCUAGGAUUCAAUAUUGUCGGAGGGACUGAUCACCAGUACAACUAUAAUGACAGUGCAAUUUAUGUAAGCAAAAUUAAAGAAGAUGGACCUGCAGAUGCUGACGGACGUUUAAAAGAAGGAGACCAAAUCUUAGCAAUCAAUGGACAAGUGCUCUGUGAUAUGACUCACCUGGAAGUUGUGGAAGUAUUUAGAAAUUCUGGGGAUGAGGUGGUUUUACAGGUUGUAAAAAAGAUAAGAGAUAAGAAUAAUCAAAGCAAUGGGCCUACUAUAUCACCACUAGUUUUGACGGCACUGGUUGUAGUGGUGGCAAUAUUUGGAUAUGUGAAAUAUCGUCAUAGGUCGUGAGAAAGCCAGUGCCCAUAUUGUUCACGUGGACCUACAGAUCGAAUAUCAAUUGCUGCUCCUUGUUUGUGUGCAUUAACCCUGACUUUCGUCAGUCACUGCAGGAUUUUAAAGGGAUGCGCACUUUCACAGAUGGUCUAAAAUAUUCAGCAUGAUAUUUCAAUGCUGCAAAAUUCAGAUUACAAAUUGUACCAGAGUACAGCUUUUUCCUUUAUUGUUGUAAUUAUGGUUUAAAAACAACAUUGUGAAGAUCUCCUGCUAUGUUUAAAAGAUCCAAAUAAGAAUGAUGGUGCAAUUUAUACGCUGAAUUUUAUGGGACACAUUCUUGGAUUCUCCACACUUAAGAAGAUGAAGCUAAGAUUCCAUGAAAUGCAAGCAUUACAAAAUUGAGGCUAGGUCCUGAACCAGAGGUGGUUUGAGGCUUGAAACUGUAUCCUAGUGUAAGUCAGCAUCUUCAGGAGAAGAGAGGAGAAAAAAAUUAAAGUAAAACAUUUCUUUGACAUUUGGCCAGAUUUCAGCGUAGUGCCUUUAUGUUGGAGUUAGGUCCCAGGUUGAAUCUGGUCUGUAUUGAGUUAGCAACCUACCAUGGCUUGGAUCAGCUAUCAUUGGCUUCAGCACCAUUUGGCUAAUGAAGGGAGAAAUCAGCCUUCUUCUAAUUGUUACCCAAUGAUUUGUGAAAAGGUCAUUUGUAUGAAUGUAUGCUGUUGACUGGCUUGGGCUCAACUGCGAUGUUUCUCCUGCCACACGAGACCAACCAAGCAGCCUGCUGAUGCUCAUUAUCGAGCACUACAUCUGGAGAAGCUGUUAGAAGCCUUGGACCUAGCACAAGUCAGCACCUUCAGAAGAAGUAAGGAACAGUAAAUUAAGGCAAAGAAUUUCUUUGACAUUUGGCCAGAUGUCAGGGUCGCAUCUAUGCUAGAGGAAUUAUGUUAUUGGCAGUUUAUACUCUGUUUCACAGAUGCUACCCAUUUCUGUAAUUGGACUAUGUUUGAGAAAUGCAUUAGGAAAUAUAAUGCCUGCACUUUUUCUAUGUUGUGAUAGGCCCACUUUCACAAAAUAUAGGUCAUUCAAAUGUUGUAAAAAAUAAUUUUAAAUCACACAAACCAAGUAUAGUAGCAGCUGUUGUCUACUUUUAGCAAUACAGUGCAACCCUGGUAUAAUAUCUCUCCUGGUAUAGCAUUGAUUAUAAUACUGGUCUAUGGAUCUGCAUUAUCUAGAAGCGUGGUAUACCCAGCUUCCAUCGCUCACUAACUGGCUUCCUAUGCUAAUAAAUAGUCAACUUUCUGAUCUUCAGAUCACUGUUGACAUGACGUCCUGCACACUAUGUAUGACUGACAUUUUUUGGGGUCAUCCGGGUGUUCUCACGUCUGAGGAAACCCAUCAUCAUGCUUAAGAGUAUUCAAGCCAGACUUGAGAGUUCUACAUAUGUACAGCCACCAAGGCACAUCAAUUUCUGAGUGUUUGGAAUGGACUGCACACACACUGCCUCGAGGGAGGCAUCGUGCUUACCGAAUUCCGAAGAAUCUUAGCAGGUUGGCAAGAGCCAAGGAUUGGGGACCCAGAAUGUGCAUUGGGCUACUGCUGGAAUUCAGUCAAAUAAAACUGCAUAGCUUGCAUUGAGAGCACUGUCUGGCAAGCUUCCCACCUAUUGGCUAGCAAUGAUCACCAUACCAGUUGGGGCUUCGGGUUGUAAGGUUUACAAGAGCUGAGCGGGAAGAAUCUCAGUGACAAGGCUGCCCAUCCAGGUCCUGCCGAUGAGCCAAGCUGGCUGGUCUGCUAAUUCUCUCUAUUUCUGCAUUCCCAUUAUCAAGCACAUCACCUUGGAGCUCCUAAGAAUCCUGUGUACCUUUCCCCUC